rnacentral:rRNA from 1 species
GACGAACGCUGGCGGCGUGCCUAAUACAUGCAAGUUGAGCGAUGAAGCUUGGUGCUUGCACCAAUUUGAAGAGCAGCGAACGGGUGAGUAACGCGUGGGGAAUCUGCCUUUGAGCGGGGGACAACAUUUGGAAACGAAUGCUAAUACCGCAUAACAUCUUUAAACAUAAGUUUUAAGUUUGAAAGAUGCAAUUGCAUCACUCAAAGAUGAUCCCGCGUUUUAUUAGCUAGUUGGUGAGGUAAAGGCUCACCAAGGCGAUGAUCCAUAGCCGACCUGAGAGGUGGUCGGGCACAUCGGGAAUGGGGAACGGCCCAAAACCCUACGGGAAGCAGGAGUAAGGAAUUUUUGGGAAUGGAGGAAAGGCUGGCCGAGGAAAGGCGGGUGGGGGAAGAAGGUUUUCGGAACGUAAAAAUCUGUUGGUAAGGAAGAACGAUAGUGGGAGUGAAAAGCUCAUCAAGUGACGGUAACUACCCAGAAAGGGACGGCUAACUACGUG